rnacentral:rRNA from 1 species
GACGAACGCUGGCGGCGUGCUUAACACAUGCAAGUCGAACGGAAAGGCCCUGCUUUUGUGGGGUGCUCGAGUGGCGAACGGGUGAGUAACACGUGAGUAACCUGCCCUUGACUUUGGGAUAACUUCAGGAAACUGGGGCUAAUACCGCAUAGGAGCUCCUGCUGCAUGGUGGGUGUUGAAAGUUUCGGCGGUUGGGGAUGGACUCGCGGCUUAUCAGCUUGUUGGUGGGGUAGUGGCUUACCAAGGCUUUGACGGGUAGCCGGCCUGAGAGGGUGACCGGCCAAAUUGGGACUGAGACACGGCCCAGACUCGGACGGGAGGCAGCAGUGGGGAAUAUUGCACAAUGGGCGGAAGCCUGAUGAAGCAACGCCGCGUGCGGGAUGACGGCCUUCGGGUUGUAAACCGCUUUCGCCUGUGACGAAGCGUGAGUGACGGUAAUGGGUAAAGAAGCACCGGCUAACUACGUG